rnacentral:rRNA from 1 species
AGUGAACGCUGGCGGUAGGCCUAACACAUGCAAGUCGAACGGCAGCACAGUAAGAGCUUGCUCUUACGGGUGGCGAGUGGCGGACGGGUGAGGAAUACAUCGGAAUCUACUUUUUCGUGGGGGAUAACGUAGGGAAACUUACGCUAAUACCGCAUACGACCUACGGUUGAAAGCAGGGGAUCUUCGGACCUUGCGCGAUUGAAUGAGCCGAUGUCGGAUUAGCUAGUUGGCGGGGUAAAGGCCCACCAAGGCGACGAUCCGUAGCUGGUCUGAGAGGAUGAUCAGCCACACUGGAGCUGAGACACGGUCCAGACUCCUACGGGAGGCAGCAGUGGGGAAUAUUGGACAAUGGGCGCAAGCCUGAUCCAGCCAUACCGCGUGGGUGAAGAAGGCCUUCGGGUUGUAAAGCCCUUUUGUUGGGAAAGAAAAGCAGCAGGUUAAUACCCCGCUGUUCUGACGGUACCCAAAGAAUAAGCACCGGCUAACUUCGUG